UACGUAGGUGGCAAGCGUUGUCCGGAUUUACUGGGCGUAAAGAGCGCGCAGGCGGUCGAUUUAGUCGCGUGUGAAAGCCCCCGGCUCAACUGGGGAGGGUCACGCGAUACUGAUCGACUCGAAGGCAGGAGAGGGUAGUGGAAUUCCCGGUGUAGUGGUGAAAUGCGUAGAGAUGCGGAGGAACACCAGUGGCGAAAGCGACUUUCUGGUCCUUAACUGACGCUGAGGCACGAAAGCUAGGGGAGCAAACGGG
rnacentral:rRNA from 1 species